rnacentral:rRNA from 1 species
ACUAACAAGGAUUCCCCUAGUAACUGCGAGUGAAGCGGGAAAAGCUCAAAUUUAAAAUCUGGUAGUCUCUGGCUGCCCGAGUUGUAAUCUAGAGAAGUGUUAUCCGCGCUGGACCGUGUAUAAGUCUCCUGGAAUGGAGCGUCAUAGAGGGUGAGAAUCCCGUCUUUGACACGGACUACCAGGGCUUUGUGAUGCGCUCUCAAAGAGUCGAGUUGUUUGGGAAUGCAGCUCUAAAUGGGUGGUAAAUUCCAUCUAAAGCUAAAUAUUGGCGAGAGACCGAUAGCGAACAAGUACCGUGAGGGAAAGAUGAAAAGAACUUUGGAAAGAGAGUUAAACAGUACGUGAAAUUGUUGAAAGGGAAACGCUUGAAGUCAGUCGCGUUGGCUUGGAAUCAGCCUUGCUUUUGCUUGGUGUACUUCCUUGUUGACGGGUCAGCAUCAAUUUUGACCGGUGGAAAAAGGCUAGUGGAAUGUGGCAUCUUCGGAUGUGUUAUAGCUGCUAGUUGUAUACAUCGGUUKGGAUUGAGGAACUCAGCACGCCGAAAGGUCGGGGUUCGCCCACGUUCGUGCUUAGGAUGCUGGCAUAAUGGCUUUAAUCGACCCGUCUUGAAACACGGACCAAGGAGUCUAACAUGCCUGCGAGUGUUUGGGUGGAAAACCCGAGCGCGUAAUGAAAGUGAAAGUUGAGAUCCCUGUCGUGGGGAGCAUCGACGCCCGGACCAGACCUUCUGUGACGGAUCCGCGGUAGAGCAUGUAUGUUGGGACCCGAAAGAUGGUGAACUAUGCCUGAAUAGGGUGAAGCCAGAGGAAACUCUGGUGGAGGCUCGUAGCGAUUCUGACGUGCAAAUCGAUCGUCAAAUUUGGGUAUAGGGGCGAAAGACUAAUCGA